rnacentral:rRNA from 1 species
CCUACGGGUGGCAGCAGUGAGGAAUAUUGGUCAAUGGUCGGGAGACUGAACCAGCCAAGCCGCGUGAGGGAUGAAGGUACAGAGUAUCGUAAACCUCUUUUGUCAGGGAACAAAGGCGGGGACGUGUCCCCGGAUGAGUGUACCUGAAGAAAAAGCAUCGGCUAACUCCGUGCCAGCAGCCGCGGUAAUACGGAGGAUGGAAGGGGUAACCGGAUGUAUUGGGUUUAAAGGGUGCGAAGGCGGUCUGUUAAGUCAGCGGUAAAAGCCCGGGGCCCAACCCCGGCCCGCCGUUGAAACUGGCCGUCUCGAGUUGGAGAGAAGUAUGCGGAAUGCGCGGUGUAGCGGUGAAAUGCAUAGAUAUCGCGCAGAACUCCGAUUGCGAAGGCAGCAUGCCGGCUCCACACUGACGCUGAGGCACGAAAGCGUGGGUAUCGAACAGGAUUAGAUACCCUGGUAGUC